UUUUUUGCUAUUUCUGACUGUGGUUAGAACAUCCUUUAGGCCUAUGUAUCAGGAGUGCUGUAGAACUGUUUUCCUGUUUCCUUUCCGCCAGUUAUGGGAACAGAGUGUUCUGCUUUCAGGUGUGUAGUUCCUGUCUACUGGUUUUCAGCUGUUCCUGUGGGCUUGUGUCCUGAGUCUACCAAGCAGGUCACUUGGAGCAGAAAAGUUGGUCUUACCUCUUGUUCAAAGCCUGGAGUCGCUUCUCAGAUCUGGGUUUAAACUCUGUGCGAGGGCAGCAGCCUGCCCCUCCUUUCCUUGGGACCCUGUGCACAGGGUGCCCAGAUGGUGCUAGGCGUUUUCCUCUAGAGUCACAAAUGUGGGCAGAGAGUAGUCUCCUCUGUCUUCCCAGGUGUGUCUGCCCCUUUGAAUGUCUAGCCCUCCCUACCUAGGGAUUUGGGUACAGGGAGGUGUUUGACCAGGUCUCUUCAAUCCAGGUGGUAUCUGGACUGCAUUGUUGAGUGCCCCUAUCUUCCUGUUCCCAGAGACCCUAUAUAGUUUCCUCUUGGGCCAGGGAUGUGGGCAGGGGUGGGCAGUGCUGGCGGUCUCUCCUGCCCUGCAGUUUCUGGAGUGCCCACGUGCCUGGGCGGUGAUCUCUCUCUCCCAUGGUGUUUGGGAACAGGGAGCUCCCCAUUUCAUUUCUUAUUUUGUUAAUUUGGAUACUCUCUCUGUGGCCUCUGGUUAUUCUGGUUAUCUCUCUUGUUGAUUUUUCUGAAUGAAGUAGCUCCCGCUUUUGUUCAUUUUUUGUAUAGUUCUUUUUUUGUACUUGGUUGUUUUCAGCCCUGAAUUUGAUUAUUUCCUGCCAUCUAUUCCUCUUGGGUAUAUUUACUUCAUUUUUGUUCUAGAGCUUUCAGGUGUGCUGUCAAGCUGCUAAUACAUGCUCUCCCCAGUUCCAUUUUGGAGGCACUCAGAGAUAUGAGUUUUCAUUUUGUUCCAUAAGUUUUGGUAUGGUAUGUCUUCAUUGUCAUUAAAUUCUAAAAAGUCUUUGUUUCUUUAUUUCUUUCUUGAUCAAGUUAUCAUUGAGGAGAGUGUUGUUAUCCUCACAUGUUUAUGUGGGCUUCUAUUAUUUUUGUUGUUAUUGAAGACCAGCCUUAAUCUGUGGUGAUCUCAUAGGAUACCUGGGAUUAUCUUAGUCUUCUUGUUUCUGUUGAGGCCUGUUUUGUGACCAGUUAUAUAGUGAAUUUUCAAGAAUGUACCAUGAGAUGCAUAUUUAGCUGUGUGUGUGUGUGUGUGUGUGUGUGUGUGUGUGUAGUGGGAUUUAAUUUCUCUUAAAGUGUCAUAUUACCAUAUGUUGUUUGUCUUUUUACACUGGCCUUAAGCCUUCUGCUUGUUCAUGGAUAUUCUUGAUAUAGCAAGUAUUGGGAAGGUUAGGAAAAUCUGAUUGAUCUUCAGGUAUCAAGUCUCUGCUGGAUGGUUCUGGACAGGCUAUUUUUGAUCAGCUGACUUGAAGCUUCCUUGUGCUCUGGGCCUGGAUAUUCCUUGUUUGUUGGUCCUGACAGUGAAUGUUAGACAAGAGGU
ensembl:lncRNA